UUGUACUCUUCUACAAAAACAGUUUCACAUUGCGUCAUUUGAUGAGACUCUGUGUCAACGCUUCGAGAACGAGAGUUAUCGAAAGAGUUUUAUCCCCUUAAUAAAGCAAAAUGCACAGGUAACCGGAUCUAUUGUUUUACACACGCGGAGGUAGAGACCGAAUUUACUGAUGAGGUCGAACAAUUCGGCUUCCAACUGCAAAACGUUCCCGUUCGAUUUUCUCCACUUGGCUUUUUCACGCUUGGUUAUAAAUUCAUAAUAAAGUUUUUUGGAACCAUUCUGGCCUAUCUGAUAAUCGUGAUACAAAUGGAUGAACACAAGAGACUGUUGUAACCAUGCUGAGAUUUU